rnacentral:rRNA from 1 species
AUGGAUUGCUUCGCGGAGGCUGAAGGAAAGAGGUCGCACGACCCGUUGUACUGCAACCCCCACUCGCCACCGGCUACCGGCUUCCCUGUCGACAACAUCCCCGUGCCGGUCGUCAUCGUUGGUGCAGGGCCGGCAGGGCUGGGGAUGGCCGCACUGCUCGGCGAGGCUGGAGUUCCAUACAAGCUGCUCGAGCGGUGUAGCUGCAUCGGCUCACUCUGGAGGCACCGCACCUACGACAGGUUAUGUUUGCAUCUCCCCAAACAAUUCUGCGAGCUCCCACUCAUGCCAUUCCCCAAAAGCUUCCCCACGUACCCGGCAAGGGACCAGUUUCUGGAGUACCUCGAGUCCUAUGCAAGGAGGUUCAACAUCGAGCCACAGUUCCGCCAGGCCGUCGUCAGCGCCGAAUUCAAUGGAGACUUUUGGUGGAUUCGCACAAAGGAGGUCACCUCACUACCAAUCGGCGGUGAGCAGGACACGUACAGCGGCAAAACAACUUUGUACCGCUGUAAGUGGCUUGUUGUUGCCACCGGAGAGAAUGCCGAGCCAGCGGUGCCAGAGAUCGAGGGCACCGGAAGGUUCAAAGGGCAGCUCAUGCACUCCUGUGAGUACCGUAGCGGUGCAGGUUAUGCUGGAAAACAAGUCCUUGUCGUCGGGUGUGGAAAUUCUGGGAUGGAAGUGUCUCUGGACCUCGCCAACCACAAUGCAAUAACUUCUAUGGUCGUUCGGGGCACGUUGCAUGUUCUGCCUAGGGAGAUGCUAGGGUGCUCCACUUUUGGGAUCUCUUUAUGGCUUCUCAGGUGGUUCCCUGUACAGGCUGUGGACCGGUUUCUCCUUAUGAUGGCACGCUUCAUUAUGGGCGACACAACCAACAUUGGUAUUACUCGGCCAAGCCUUGGCCCAAUGGAGCUUAAGGGCGUUUCUGGUAAAACGCCAGUUCUCGAUGUCGGAACCAUAGCAAAGAUUAAGUCUGGAAGUAUUAAUGUUUUUCCUGGAGUGCGGUGUUUUCAUGAGCACGGUGUGGAGUUUAUUGACGGAAGAACCGAGAACUUUGAUGUUGUUAUUCUUGCCACAGGUUACAAAAGCAAUGUACCUUAUUGGUUAAAGGAGAAAACUUUUUUUUCAGAGAAAGAUGGCUUCCCAAGAAAGUCAAAAGAGUGGAAAGGAAAAAAUGGUCUCUAUGCUGUUGGUUUCUCGAGGAGUGGACUUUUAGCGGUGUAUAAGGAUGCAACCAAGAUCUCGGAGGAUAUUGUUCAACAAUGGCGUGAUAUGUGUAUGGAAGAUGCGAGAGAAACUUUAUCCAAUCGAAGAACACCAUGUCCUAUUUGA